rnacentral:rRNA from 1 species
AGUGAACGCUGGCGGUAGGCCUAACACAUGCAAGUCGAACGGCAGCACAGUAAGAGCUUGCUCUUACGGGUGGCGAGUGGCGGACGGGUGAGGAAUACAUCGGAAUCUACUUUUUCGGGGGGGAUAACGUAGGGAAACUUACGCUAAUACCGCAUACGACCUACGGGUGAAAGCAGGGGAUCUUCGGACCUUUCGCGAUUGAAUGAGCCGAUGUCGGAUUAGCUAGUUGGCGGGGUAAAGGCCCACCAAGGCGACGAUCCGUAGCUGGUCUGAGAGGAUGAUCAGCCACACUGGAACUGAGACACGGUCCAGACUCCUACGGGAGGCAGCAGUGGGGAAUAUUGGGCAAUGGGCGCAAGCCUGAUCCAGCCAUACCGCGUGAGUGAAGAAGGCCUUCGGGUUGUAAAGCCCUUUUGUUGGGAAAGAACAGCAGCAGGUUAAUACCCCGCUGUUCUGACGGUACCCAAAGAAUAAGCACCGGCUAACUUCGUG